UCCGUAGGGUGCAAUCGUUGUCCGGAUUCACUGGGUGUAAAGGGUGCGCAGGCGGGCUCUUAAGUCAAAGGUGAAAUCUCUCGGCUUAACCGAGAAAUUGCCUUUGAUACUGAGAGCCUUGAGUACGGGAGAGGGAGAUGGAAUUCCAGGUGUAGCGGUGAAAUGCGUAGAUAUCUGGAGGAACACCGGAGGCGAAGGCGGUCUCCUGGCCCGUUACUGACGCUCAGGCACGAAAGCGUGGGGAGCAAACAGG
rnacentral:rRNA from 1 species